AUGCACACUAUCCACAUCAGCAAUCUGCCACGUCAUUAUUCACUUUACAUAAUCACCCAAUCACUUUCCCUCACCCGCAGCCACGUAAUCAUUCAGUUUCCAAUUCCCCUCGAGUCACGGCGGUGGGAAAAAAAAACUGCAUCCUCCAUCCCCGCAGGCACUCCUUUUUCCUCGCCCGCAUCCGGCCAUCCCGCAUCCCGCACGGCACGGCACGGCCGCCGGCCCUCCCGCCCACCUCCAGUCCAGCGCCGGCGCCGGUGGUCACCGCUCCAUGGCUCCAUGGCCGCCCCGCGCCUCCGUGGCCUCCUCCUCCGCCGCAUCCCGCACGGUCGCCGGCUCUGCCGCAGGCAUCCCGCACGGCACGGCACGGCCGCCGGCCAGCUCCAUGUCCGCCCCGCGCCUACGUGGCCUUCUCCGCCGCCGCAUCCCUCACGGCCGCCGGCUCUCCCGCAGGAUCGGAUCCCACCCACCUCCACCUCAGCGUCGGUGCUCACCGCGCCAUGGCCGGCCCGCGCCUCCACCGCCUGCUUCUUCGCUGGACCGAAUCCUGCCGCCGGCCAGCGCCAGUGCUCACCGCGCCAUGGCCGCCCUCCCUCGCUUGCUCGCGCCGCCCGUCCGCCGCCCGUCCACCACGGUGCGCUGCCCGUUCUUGGCCGUCUGUUUCGGCCGACCGGCGGCCGCCGAUACGACGUCUUCUGGGCGCUGGGACGCAGACCGGGCGCGGUUCCGUUGCUGCUGCCCCAGGUCGUCGAGGAACAGUACUGUCAGGCUGGGCGGACCCCCUUCCUCUGCUCCAAGCCUCCAGGUGCAGUUGGGAUGCAGGCCAUCCGCCCUUUGUCCACCGGUGCCAUUGCUCUGCUCCAUCCUCUGGCCACCGGCGUCGUUGCUCUGCUCCACUGCCGUCAUCGUUUGCGAGGAACCCGGUUUUAUCCACGUCUUCCCCAGGUCAACAGAGCCGCAUUUAGUUCACUGCUUCUGACUAAGCUUCUUGAUGUGGAGCUGCAGGUCGUUGAUGAUUGA
rnacentral:rRNA from 1 species